rfam:Brachypodium distachyon strain Bd21 chromosome 5, whole genome shotgun sequence.
UUAUUACUCUCUCCGUCCAACAAAAGAUGUCUCAACUUUAACUAAAUUUGAAUGCAUCUAUACACUAAGUCAUGUCUAAAUACCUCCAAAUUUUGACAAACUUGAGACAUCUUUUGUUGGACGGAGGAAGUAUAUC